rnacentral:rRNA from 1 species
CGCGUGAGGAACCUGGCUCAAAGAGGGGGACAACAGUUGGAAACGACUGCUAAUACCGCAUAAGCCCACGGGUCGGCAUCGACCUGAGGGAAAAGGAGCAAUCCGCUUUGAGAUGGCCUCGCGUCCGAUUAGCUAGUUGGUGAGGUAACGGCCCACCAAGGCGACGAUCGGUAGCCGGACUGAGAGGUUGAACGGCCACAUUGGGACUGAGACACGGCCCAGACUCCUACGGGAGGCAGCAGUGGGGAAUAUUGCACAAUGGGGGAAACCCUGAUGCAGCGACGCCGCGUGGAGGAAGAAGGUCUUCGGAUUGUGAACUCCUGUUGUUGAGGAAGAUAAUGACGGUACUCAACAAGGAAGUGACGGCUAACUACGUGCCAGCAGCCGCGGUAAAACGUAGGUCACAAGCGUUGUCCGGAAUUACUGGGUGUAAAGGGAGCGCAGGCGGGAAGACAAGUUGGAAGUGAAAUCUAUGGGCUCAACCCAUAAACUGCUUUCAAAACUGUUUUUCUUGAGUAGUGCAGAGGUAGGCGGAAUUCCCGGUGUAGCGGUGGAAUGCGUAGAUAUCGGGAGGAACACCAGUGGCGAAGGCGGCCUACUGGGCACCAACUGACGCUGAGGCUCGAAAGUGUGGGUAGCAAACAGGAUUAGAUACCCUGGUAGU